rnacentral:rRNA from 1 species
CCUACGGGUGGCAGCAGUGAGGAAUAUUGGUCAAUGGACGAGAGUCUGAACCAGCCAAGUAGCGUGAAGGAUGACUGCCCUAUGGGUUGUAAACUUCUUUUAUAUGGGAAUAAAACGUUCCACGUGUGGGAUUUUGUAUGUACCAUCUGAAUACGGAUCGGCUAACUCCGUGCCAGCAGCCGCGGUAAUACGGAGGUUCCGAGCGUUAUCCGGAUUUAUUGGGUUUAAAGGGAGCGUAGGUGGAUUGUUAAGUCAGUUGUGAAAGUUUGCGGCUCAACCGUAAAAUUGCAGUUGAAACUGGCAGUCUUGAGUACAGUAGAGGUGGGCGGAAUUCGUGGUGUAGCGGUGAAAUGCUUAGAUAUCACGAAGAACUCCGAUUGCGAAGGCAGUUCACUGGACUGCAACUGACACUGAGGAUCGAAAGUGUGGGUAUCAAACAGGAUUAGAUACCCCAGUAGUC